rnacentral:rRNA from 1 species
UCUACGGGAGGCAGCAGUGGGGAAUAUUGCACAAUGGGCGCAAGCCUGAUGCAGCGACGCCGCGUGGGGGAUGACGGCCUUCGGGUUGUAAACUCCUUUCGUCAGGGACGAAGCGAAAGUGACGGUACCUGGAUAAGAAGCACCGGCUAACUACGUGCCAGCAGCCGCGGUAAUACGUAGGGUGCGAGCGUUGUCCGGAAUUACUGGGCGUAAAGAGCUCGUAGGUGGUUUGUCGCGUCGUUUGUGUAAGUCCACGGCUUAACUGUGGGAUGGCAGGCGAUACGGGCAUAACUUGAGUGCUGUAGGGGAGACUGGAAUUCCUGGUGUAGCGGUGAAAUGCGCAGAUAUCAGGAGGAACACCGAUGGCGAAGGCAGGUCUCUGGGCAGUAACUGACGCUGAGGAGCGAAAGCAUGGGUAGCGAACAGGAUUAGAUACCCUGGUAGUCCAUGCCGUAAACGGUGGGCGCUAGGUGUGAGUCCCUUCCACGGGGUUCGUGCCGUAGCUAACGCAUUAAGCGCCCCGCCUGGGGAGUACGGCCGCAAGGCUAAAACUCAAAGGAAUUGACGG